UCGUAACAAGGUCUCCGUAGGUGAACCUGCGGAGGGAUCAUUACACAACAAAAUAUGAAGGCCUGGCUUCGCGGCCGGCUGAAAUAUUUUUUUCACCCAUGUCUUUUGCGCACUUGUUGUUUCCUGGGCGGGUUCGCCCGCCACCAGGACCAAACCAUAAACCUUUUUUUUAUGCAGUUGCAAUCAGCGUCAGUAAAAACAAUGUAAUUAUUACAACUUUCAACAACGGAUCUCUUGGUUCUGGCAUCGAUGAAGAACGCAGCGAAAUGCGAUACGUAGUGUGAAUUGCAGAAUUCAGUGAAUCAUCGAAUCUUUGAACGCACAUUGCGCCCUUUGGUAUUCCAAAGGGCAUGCCUGUUCGAGCGUCAUUUGUACCUUCAAGCUUUGCUUGGUGUUGGGCGUUUUUUGUCUCCCUCUUUCUGGGAGACUCGCCUUAAAACGAUUGGCAGCCGGCCUACUGGUUUCGGAGCGCAGCACAUAUUUUGCGCUUUGUAUCAGGAGAAAAGGACGGUAAUCCAUCAAGACUCUACAUUUUUAACUUUUGACCUCGGAUCAGGUAGGGAUACCCGCUGAACUUAAGCAUAUCAAUAAGCGGAGGA
rnacentral:misc_RNA from 1 species